rnacentral:rRNA from 1 species
GACGAACGCUGGCGGUGUGCUUAACACACGCAAGUCGAACGGAAAGGCCCUGCUUUUGUGGGGUGCUCGAGUGGCGAACGGGUGAGUAACACGUGAGUAACCUGCCCUUGACUUUGGGAUAACUUCAGGAAACUGGGGCUAAUACCGGAUAGGAGCUCCUGCUGCAUGGUGGGGGUUGGAAAGUUUCGGCGGUUGGGGAUGGACUCGCGGCUUAUCAGCUUGUUGGUGGGGUAGUGGCUUACCAAGGCUUUGACGGGUAGCCGGCCUGAGAGGGUGACCGGCCACAUUGGGACUGAGAUACGGCCCAGACUCCUACGGGAGGCAGCAGUGGGGAAUAUUGCACAAUGGGCGGAAGCCUGAUGCGGCAACGCCGCGUGCGGGAUGACGGCCUUCGGGUUGUAAACCGCUUUCGCCUGUGACGAAGCGUGAGUGACGGUAAUGGGUAAAGAAGCACCGGCUAACUACGUG